rnacentral:rRNA from 1 species
CCUACGGGGGGCUGCAGUGGGGAAUAUUGGACAAUGGGGGCAACCCUGAUCCAGCCAUGCCGCGUGUGUGAAGAAGGCCCUCGGGUUGUAAAGCACUUUCAGUGAGGAAGAACGCCUGGUGGUUAAUACCCAUCAGGAAAGACAUCACUCACAGAAGAAGCACCGGCUAACUCCGUGCCAGCAGCCGCGGUAAUACGGAGGGUGCGAGCGUUAAUCGGAAUUACUGGGCGUAAAGCGCGCGUAGGUGGCUUGAUAAGCCGGUUGUGAAAGCCCCGGGCUCAACCUGGGAACGGCAUCCGGAACUGUCAAGCUAGAGUGCAGGAGAGGAAGGUAGAAUUCCCGGUGUAGCGGUGGAAUGCGUAGAGAUCGGGAGGAAUACCAGUGGCGAAGGCGGCCUUCUGGACUGACACUGACACUGAGGUGCGAAAGCGUGGGUAGCAAACAGGAUUAGAUACCCCUGUAGUC